UGAGAAACGUGAGUUUGUCAUCAUUUUUAUCUAGACAUAGGAUAGGUUGUGUGAAAAUAUUACUGAUGUUUAACGUUAAAAAUGGACCAAAAGAUUAAUGCUAAACAACAUUUGACAUGUUUGAACGAACAUAAAUAGAUUAUUUACUAGGUUUUUUUAGCUUUUCGGCGUGAUUUUACCAGCCCCCCAACCACGUUUUGUGGGAGCAUAAUGAACGCUAAGUACUUGGUGUUAUUUGGACAUAAAUUAUGAACUUUGUCAAAAGAAACCACAUUUGUUCCGGACCUGGAAUGCCUUCCGGACCUGGGAUCCUGCCUUCUGAUGGAGAUAAUCAAAGGAGAAGAAAUGUCAGAUCACUAAAAUGUUAAGGUUUCUGCCAGGAUGUAUAAUUCCAGAGGCUAUGUCAGCUGGCUGCACAUUACAUGAGAAUCUCUUGGGCUGACAGCACCCGCAUUCCUGACAAGCACAAUUACACACCCAGCGCACACAGGCCCUACCAGCAGUGAGUGAGGCAUGUUGUGAACCCUGUCUCAGACCUCUUUGGUGGAUCCAUGGACCUAUCUCCACUAGCUGCAAAUGCAGACAGACUGGUAGAAUAAAGAAACACCAAGUUCCUGUUGGGUACCGGCUCAGCAUUCGGCCUGUAUGUAGGCCUUCUCUGUUUUCCUAGAUGCAGCUUGUUGGCAGUGAGACGAACACCUGGUAGACUGGCCCUGUUGGGUUUGAACAGAUUGUUGCACUGAUACCUUGCUGUUGCAUAUCAUUUAUUAUGUAAGAGCACAGUACCUAUUUAAAGUACAAUUUGGAGAGUUACUGUUAUGAAUAGACAGCUUUACAUUUCGGUAUGUUUAUGCAACAGCCUACAACACGAUCUUGCACUACCGGUCAAAGGUUCAAGAGUUUUUCUUUAUUUUUGCUAUUUUCUACAUUGUAGAAUAAUAGUGAAGACAUCAAAACUAUGAAAUAACACAUAUGGAAUCAUGUAGUAAGCAAAAAAGUGUUAAACAAAUCAAAAACAUAUUUUAUAUUUUACAUUCUUCAAAAAGCCACCCUUUGCCAUGAUGACAGCAUUGUACACUCUUGGCAUUCUGUCAACCAGCGUCACCUGGAACACUUCUCCAACAAUCUUGAAGGAGUUCCCACAUACGCUGAGCACUUGUUGGCUGCUUUUCCUUCACUCUGCGGUCCGACUCAUCCCAAACCAUCUCAAUUUGGCUUAGGUCGGGAGAUUGUAAAAGCCAGGUCAUCUGAUGCAGCACUCCAUCACUCUCCUUCUUGGUUAAAUAGCCCUUACACAGCCUGGAGGUGUGUUUUGGGUCAUUGUCCUGUUGAAAAACAAAUGAUAGUCCCACUAAGCCCAAACCAGAUGGGAUAGCGUGUCGCUGCAGAAUGCUGCGGUAGCCAUGCUGAUUAAGUGUGCCUUGAAUUCACCAGCAAAACACCCCCACUUCUACUCCUCCAUGCUUCACGGUGGGAAAUGCACAUGAGGAGAUCAUCUGUUCACCCACACCGCGUCUCACAAAGACACGGCGGUUGGAACCAAAAAUCUCCAAUUUGGACUCCAGACCAAAAGACAGAUUUUCACCAGUCCAUUGCUUGUGUUUCUUGGCCCAAGCAAGCCUCUUCUUAUUAUUGAUGUUCUUUAGUAGUGGUUUCUUUACAGCAAUUCAACCAUGAAGGCCUGAUUCACACAGUCUCCUCUGAACAGUGGAUGUUGAGAUGUGUCUGUUACUUGAACUCUGUGAAGCAUUUAUUUGGGCUGCAAUAUCUAAGGCUGGCUGGUUAUACGAUAUACCGGCAGGAUAGAACAGCGACAUCUGGUAAGACAAGGGGCGGCGGUCUAUGAAUUUUUGUAAACAACAGCUGGUGCGUGAUAUCUAAGGAAGUCUCAAGCUAUUGCUCGUCUGAGGUAGAGUUUCUCAUGAUAAGCUGUAGACCACACUACCUACCGAGAGAGUUUUAAUCUGUAUUCUUUGUAGCUGUUUACAUACCACCACAGAGGCUGGCAGAGAGGCUGGCACUAAGAUAGCAUUGAAUGAGCUGUAUUCCGCCAUAAACAAACAAGAAAACGCUCACCCAGAGGCGGUGCUCCUAGUAGCCGGGGACUGUAAUGCAGGGAAACUUCAGUUUUACCAAAUUUCUAUCAGCAUGUUAAAUGUGCAACCAGAGGGAAAAUAACUCUGGACCACCUAUACUCCACACACAGAGAUGCAUACAAACUCACCCUCUCCCUCCAUUUGGCAAAUCUGACCAUAAUUCCAUCCUCCUGAUUCCUGCUUACAAGCAAAAAUUAAAGCAGGAAGCACCAGUGACUAGUGGUCAGAUGAAGCAGAUGUUAAGCUACAGGACUGUUUUGCUAGCACAGACUCCUCCAAUGACAUUGAGGAGUACACCACAUCUGUCAUUGUCUUCAUCAAUAAGUGCCUUGAUGACGUCGUCCCCACAGUGACAGUACAUACCCCAACUAGAAGCCAUGGAUUACAGGCAGCAUCCACACUGAACUAAAGGCUAGAGUUGCCGCUUUCAAGGUGUGGGACUCUAACCCGGAAGCUUAUAAGAAAUCCCGCUAUGCCCUCCAACGAACCAUGAAACAGGCAAAGCGUCAAUACAGGACUCAGAUUGAGUCAUACUACACCGGCUCUGACGCUCGUUGGAUGUGGCAGGGCCUGCAAACCAUUACA
rnacentral:lncRNA from 1 species